AUGGGCUUUAGGGACCUCCACUCUUUCAAUUUGGCAAUGCUCUCGAAACAAUGUUGGCGACUUAUCACCAACCCAGAUUCUCUUUAUGCUCGAGUUUUGAAAGCAAAAUAUUAUCCAAAUGUAAAUUUACUCCAAGCAACACUGAAAAGCGGAGCAUCAUUUACAUGGCAAAGUAUUAUGAAGGGGUUAGAAACUUUU
rnacentral:rRNA from 1 species